AUGGAUAUCUCUCAGGCCUUCUCAACUCUUAGGAGGGGUGGUUUGAGGGCUUCCUGUGGAAAAACUCACAGAGUUACCUGAUCAUCAAGGAGACAGGACCCCAAGAGCCAAGUAGGUACUAAAGCUAAGUCAUUAUAGGUCCACGUUCCAUGGCAGAAUAAAGUUUCAUUGGAGAGCUGCAGGCUCUGUCUUCAGAGUGCAGUCUGGUGAAUGAUGUCCUCAGAAGAAGGGAGUGGUUGAAUGGGCACACAGCAUUGGUAUACGGUUACCAGAAAAGUACAGCUUCUCCCCAGUGCAUAUAGCUUUUGUACCAUCAUAAAGCUGAAAGUUGGCAAGUCAAACCAUUGCAGGUUCGAGGACUGUCCAGCUCAUGAUCCCAACUUCUGUCUACAAAGAUGCUCAUCCAUGUGCUCGCACAGCUGGGCUCAGCCUCGUGAAAUGAGCCUGUAGUGCCCCAUGGUUGUCUUACAAAUAAAAAAUGAGACCUGUA